rnacentral:rRNA from 1 species
GACGAACGCUGGCGGCGUGCCUAAUACAUGCAAGUAGAACGCUGAAGGAGGAGCUUGCUUCUCUGGAUGAGUUGCGAACGGGUGAGUAACGCGUAGGUAACCUGCCUGGUAGCGGGGGAUAACUAUUGGAAACGAUAGCUAAUACCGCAUAAGAGUAGAUGUUGCAUGACAUUUGCUUAAAAGGUGCAAUUGCAUCACUACCAGAUGGACCUGCGUUGUAUUAGCUAGUUGGUGAGGUAACGGCUCACCAAGGCGACGAUACAUAGCCGACCUGAGAGGGGGGUCGGCCACACUGGGACUGAGACACGGCCCAGACUCCUACGGGAGGCAGCAGUAGGGAAUCUUCGGCAAUGGACGGAAGUCUGACCGAGCAACGCCGCGUGAGUGAAGAAGGUUUUCGGAUCGUAAAGCUCUGUUGUAAGAGAAGAACGAGUGUGAGAGUGGAAAGUUCACACUGUGACGGUAUCUUACCAGAAAGGGACGGCUAACUACGUG